rnacentral:lncRNA from 7 species
CCUCAACGCGAAGCUCGGACGGCGAGGACAAAAUGUGAACGGCGAUAAAGAACUCCAUCGCGAUGGACGACGGCGACUUGGCAAGGCGACAUCGCGGCGAGCUUAGCGCUGGUUCCCUGCUCGACGGAGAUUAGACACGGCUACAAGGCCGAGGCACCACGUGACGGCAAGAGCGUGUUGCUGCGAGGCGAGAGGAGGAACGGCUGCGGUACAAAGAAGUGGGGGUAGACAAGUGCGUUUGAAUAGGGGUGGCCGGUGGAAGUUGUUGCCGAUCCUCAUGCGUCGUGGGCGACUUAGGCAGGGGAGACGAUUCAGAGAAGAUAAACAGGAGAGGGG